AGUGAACGCUGGCGGCAGGCCUAAUACAUGCAAGUCGAACGGCAGCACGGCAGAGCUUGCUCUGUGGGUGGCGAGUGGCGGACGGGUGAGGAAUACAUGGGAAUCUGCCCAGUCGUGGGGGAUAACGUAGGGAAACUUACGCUAAUACCGCAUGCGCCCUUCGGGGGAAAGCCGGGGACCUUCGGGCCUGGCGCGAUUGGAUGAGCCCAUGUCGGAUUAGCUAGUUGGCGGGGUAAUGGCCCACCAAGGCGACGAUCCGUAGCUGGUCUGAGAGGAUGAUCAGCCACACUGGAACUGAGACACGGUCCAGACUCCUACGGGAGGCAGCAGUAGGGAAUAUUGGACAAUGGGCGCAAGCCUGAUCCAGCCAUUCCGCGUGCAGGAUGAAGGCCUUCGGGUUGUAAACUGCUUUUGUACGGAACGAAAAGGACUCUGGUUAAUACCUGGAGUUUAUGACGGUACCGUAAGAAUAAGCACCGGCUAACUACGUGCCAGCAGCCG
rnacentral:rRNA from 1 species